rnacentral:sRNA from 1 species
UGGACAUUCUCUUGCAUCCAGGAGAAGCCUUGAAUCACCUGUGAUGUCACCGGUGUUAUGGUGACACCAACUGCUUUUGGGUGGUCCCUUCAGAGCUUAUUGGGUUCACAAGCAGGCAUGUUGUCCAGGCUCCUCAGUGUUUUUCAAAGUGAGAAUUGAAAACAAGGAGAGGCCAGACCAAGACAGAAGGAGGCUGGUCUUCUAUCAUGUUGUAGAAAAAGAACAAAGACAUAGUCCUGGGGAAGGCCUAGGUCUGCUCAGAAGGCAUCAUCCCAACCCUCUACUAUCUGUGAUCAUGAGGAGAGGAUGAAGAGGUCGGAGAAGUUGAAAAUUGAUCUUCAGAAGAUGAAAAAAGAAAGGGACAAACUCAGGGGAAUCCUGUCCAAUUACACCAACAAGGAUUUAAGCAACAGUUAGUCAUGAUGCGACUUCUUUGUUGACUGUCUUGAGCUCUCUGUUAAGCCCCUAUUUUCUCAUAUCAGAGAAGGCUACAACUCCAGGACUUGAUCAUGGUCAAAAUCAUUUUCCUGGCCAUGGAGUUUGACUUGGAUUUUGUUAUUUGAAAGAUUAAGUUGCUUAGAGUUGAAUCUGUUUCCAGAAAAUAUGCAGUAGCUAUGCUAAGAUUUAAUUGCAGGAUUGCCUCAGACAGAACUUUAGGCUCAUGUUAGUCUAAAGCACUCACCUUGUGUUCUGUCUGUGACACUAUUAAUUAUUGUUAUUCAAAUUUACUUGGUCUGAGUAAAAAAUCAUCCUCAAGAAGGGUUUGGAGAAGUGAUGACCCUAAUACAUUUCUUGUGGUGUAAAAUGGGUAGCCCUGUGAGAAGCCAUGUACAACUCUUCAGAAAGUUGAACUGCAGCCCCCAUUGACACAGCAAUACCAGAACAAAAAGUAGGUGUCAACAGAGAAACGAUAGCACAUUGGGGUUGUAGUGGUAUACCUCAGAACAGUCCUGAAGUAAAACUAUCCAUAUGUCCAUCAGUCAGAAAGUAAAAAUGUACAAUGUUGUCUAGCCUUUCCAUGGACUAUUGCUGAGUAUGAUUAUACAUGCAACCAUUUGACCUUGCACUAGUUAGCCUUAUCUUACUCAAAAUAUACCCUACAGUAUAUACCAUUACAAUGUGAAAAGUUUUACUUUGGUUAUGGUGAUUUUCAUGUUUUAUGUGCUGAUGGUGUUGGGUCCAAAGUGAGGCAGGCUAUGGUAAAGGGGUAUCCUAUUAGAAUAUUCUGCUCACUUUGGAGCUACUGGGAAACAGUGAGCUAGAGGAUAGAAUAGACUUGUGUACCACUACCCAGUAGUCUAUUGCUGGGAAUCAAGCAUACUGUGCACAGCUUUGGGAACUUGCUGGGCAGGCUUGGCUAAUAGGCCAAGACCCCAUAUUUCUAACUUCUGUUAUUAGGGGGAAGCACUUUAUUGACAGAGCUCUCUAUUAGGCUAUGCCCUCUAUGUAGUUAUCCCAUUCAAGGAUUUUUAUCUUAUGCCUUAAUAGUAUCCUGAGUCAUCUCUUUUAUUAUCAUUAACUGAGAAAAUAACUAUAUUCCUGCAAAGUACUAUGUUUGUAUGUAUGAAAAAAUAUAUUUAUGUGUGUUCAGAAGUGUGUAUGCCUGGGUGUCUCUCUCCCUGUCUGGCUGUGUACCUGUAUGUAUUCAUGACUCCUGGGACAAUAUAAUCUUGUAAUGACCAGGAUGAGGACAGAUUGGAAGAAAGGUUUCAGGACCCACUGAAUCAGAAAGAAUUGUUCCCUGAGCAAAAGGACUUGGCUGAGAAGAUUCAGCAUCAUUUCGAUGCCUCUGAGGUGAGGUAAGAGCACAUGAUGGGAGGAACCAAGUAGAUUACCUGUACCUGUCAACUGUCCUUUUUUGGAUGUCUGACUUUCUAUAUAGUUCUCAGACUCAGUUAACUAGGAACAGCUCAGAAUAUUGUUCUGGUCCAGUUUAAAAGAACUUUUGUCCUUGAAAUAUGUGUGAUCCAUAGAGAUUCUGGCUAUUGUGUACUCAUCCCUCCCUGAUGAACUCUCUAGUAUUAUCUGAGCCCAUUGCCUUGAAGUCUCCCCACAAAUAGUACUACAGUAGCCUUAAACAAAGCAGGGACAUCAUUUCUUUUCUGCAUGAGCAUCUACUUUAGAGUUCAGUACAUCCUUUGGUAAGACUUACAUGCAGCACACUCUUGCUGAUUAUAGUAUCACUUCAGUGUGCAUGUACUUCGUGUGAUAUUAUUCCUCUCUGUAUUUUCAGAUAGAGAGGUUGUCAAGUGGAACCCAGGCAUAUUCCUAUGCUAGAGGCAUAAUAAUAGCCUUCACUUCAGUGGUGGCCUAGCUCCUGAGAAGGCCUUCAUAUGGUCUUCUCUCCUGAACUGACAUUCCAACAUUGCAACAUGAUUUUUAAAAUAUCUUAAAGGUCUUACUGGAUUAUCCUGCUGAAUACUGGUGCUGUGGGUUGAAUCACUAACAUGACAGGUCCUCACCAGGCCGUUAUCUUUUCCUCCCCUAGGUCUGAAAUAUUCCAGCAGAAUAGGAAAAGUGUUCCCUCAGACAGAACUGUCCACCAGGAGCACUGAGUGUACAAAGAAAGUCAACAACUUUCCAUCUCAAUCCUAAUAACCAUGGCAAUCCUGGGCUGCACUUUCUUCCUUUGCUUUCCUAUGUGGGAAGAGGGAUUUAUUUUGUCUAGCAUCUAACCCAGUACGAGUCACAUUGGAGGGUACUGAGGGCCAUCAGGAAAUGCUUGGCAUUCAGGAGGAGUCUUGGAGUGACAAUUUUUUCUUGUCUUGAUGAGUCAUGAAGUAUAAUUUCAUAGGCAUCAGUCAUGUGAACUUUAAAGACCUUGAGAUAUCUUCUGUAACAUGUCUCAUGCUUAGCCUAGGGAGGACUUGUCCAUCAACAACAAACCACCCCCAAAGAGGCAUAUCCACAUUCAUCUUGAAGAGAUUAUUGCCGUCUGGAGUCCCGUUCUGCUAUGUUCACAAGAUUUCAGAAAAAUUGAAUACCUAUGUUAUACCCUUUCCACAAGGCUCAAAGGCCAUUAUGAAAGACUGAGCAAAGAGACAGUAGGUGUCUGAAGUCAGGGAAGAUCCCAGGGAAAGUGUCUUCUGGAUAUGACAGGAGUGCUGCCGUCAUGACACACAGCAGCUGUGGUUCACUGCAGAGUUUCAAGUCAGUCAACAGUCAAGAAUACAGUAGGAAGGCCCAAGGGAUCUUACUCCUAACUGACAUACUGUGGACAGUUAGUGUCUUCUGGUGGAGGGUUGAACUAUUCUCUGUAAGGGUUUACAUGGGGUUAUUAAACAAUUAUUUAAUGUAGAAGAGAUACAAAAUGUAGAAGUCAAAGAAAAAGAAAGUGAUGUGGGUGAAAUAAAUGGGAAGAAAAUCAUCAAAAUUCUCAAACAAUAAAAUCUUUAGAGUAUAUUUAUCAAUAUUAUGGACAUAGAGAAUGGUUUAUUACAUAGAGAUGUUUCA